rnacentral:lncRNA from 1 species
UAAUAGUCAAGCAAUACCUUCUCUAGGUCAGAGGUAUUAUGCCGUGUUCCAAACUGGGAACUCUGAUAUCUCAGACGCGGGAAAAAACUAGAUCCGACGAGAAAAAUCGUUUUGAACGGUCAUACUGGCCUCUUUCUUUAGCUCCGACUUUUAGAGCUGAAGAUCACCGACGUCAGGAUUUUUCAGAGCUCCCAGUUGUCUUGAAAGCACCAUAAAUUGAGAAACCUGCCUAUUUUCCUCAAAAUAAAAAGCAUGAGCUGACGCACACCCAAGAUUUUUUGAGAGGUGCUGCCUGCUGACUGAUGGAGAGAAAACUGUAUAAAAAUAAAGUAAGUCACACACUAUAUAUACUCCCAACAAUUUAAUGGAUAAACAUAACACAAACGCAUCGUUAUCACCACCCUUUGUUGCAGUGUUUAUAUGAAUCUUACAGUACAUCUUUAUAUCUUUAACAGGAUGCAAUUCGCUAGAUGCUAGGGUGGCAGGUAGCCUAGUGGUUAAGAGUGUUGGGUCAGUAACUGAAAGGUCACUGUUUUGAAUACCUGAGCCGAUUAGCUGAAAAAUCUGUCGAUGUGCCCUUGAGCUAGGCACUAAACCUGAAUUUCUCUUCUAAGUUGCUCUGGAUAAGAGUGUCUACUAAAUAAAUAAAUACAAUUCUUGUCAUCAACAGUAGCCUGAGUUAAUUACAGAUAUAGUUCUGCAGCUCAACUAUUAUACUCCUGAGCAAACAUUCCAUAACUGCAGGUGGCAGUAAAUCUUCAACCUUGGCUUCAUAUCUGUUCAAAUAAGACACUCCAGGUGGCAGUAUACACCCUUU